rnacentral:rRNA from 1 species
GACGAGGGGGGGCUAGCGUUGUUCGGAAUUACUGGGCGUAAAGCGAGUGUAGGCGGUUGCCCAAGUCAGGUGUGAAAGCCUUGAGCUCAACUCAAGAAAUGCACUUGGUACUGGGUGGCUAGAGGACCGGAGAGGAUAGUGGAAUUCCCAGUGUAGCGGUGAAAUGCGUAGAUAUUGGGAGGAACACCAGUGGCGAAGGCGGCUCACUGGACCGGUACUGACGCUGAGGCGCGAAAGCCAGGGGAGCGAACGGG